rnacentral:tRNA from 1 species
GCCCCUUUAGCUCAGUCGGUAGAGCGUUUCCAUGGUAAGGAAAAGGUCUUCGGUUCGAUUCCGUAAAGGGGCU